AGAGAUUUCAGGUGGGGAGACAAGGCUUCAGAGCUUAAGGUACUUGUGUUUAUAUCAGCUGGGAAGAUUUGUUAAUAAUUUAAAGGGUUACAAACUCACAAUGCAUGCAUUAUUGCUAAGGUUUAGGGCUGGCAAUUUCGGGUUUCGGGUCGGGUUCGGGUCGGGUUGACAGUCGCGGGUCAAAAAAUUUACCCAACCCGAACCCGACCCGAAAAUUUAAUGGGUCAGAAUACCCAACCCGAACCCGACCCGCACUACCCGCGGGUAACCCGAACCCGACCCGAAAAUUAAUAUUUAUUAAUAAAAAUAUUUUUUAAAUAAUAAAUAAAUAUUAUUUUAAUCCAAAUAAAUUAAUUUUUAUUAAAUUAAAUAAUUUUAUAUUAAAUUUAACUAAUAAAUUUUAUAAAAAUAAUAUAAAUAAUAUAAAUAUAUAUAAUAUUUAUAUUAUAUAUUAAUUUUCGGGUAAUUUCGGGUCAAUUUCGGGUAACCCGAAUUCAACCCGAAAAUGACCCGAUUUUUCUGGGUUGAUUUUGGGUCAACCCGAAUUCGACCCGAACCCGAAAACCCCCAACCCGAAUUCGUAUUUUGCACUACUCACAAUGCAUGCAUUAUUGCUAAGGCCUGGUCCAGAACAUACGAAUGAUACUAGUAUACGUUUUGCGAGAAAAAAGUGCUCGACGUGAAAAAUUCCAAGAUGAGACAAUUUUCU
rnacentral:lncRNA from 1 species